rnacentral:rRNA from 1 species
UAAUAUUUAAGGGCCGCGGUAUUUUGACUGUGCAAAGGUAGCAUAAUCAUUAGGUUUUUAAUUGAAAUCUUGUAUGAAUGAUUGAACAAGAGAAAAACUGUCUUUAUAUUAAAGUUUGAAUUUAACUUUUAAGUGAAAAGGCUUAAAUACCCUAAAGGGACGAUAAGACCCUAUAAAACGUUAUGUUGGGGAGACAAAAGCUAUAAUUAUUAACUGCUUGAAGAGAAAUCAGUAAAUUAGUGUAUAGAUCCUUUAUAAAGACUGAAAGAUUAAGUUACUUUAGGGAUAACAGCGUUAUUUUUUUUGAGAGUCCAUAUCGAAAAAAAAGAUUGCGACCUCGAUGUUGAAUUAAAAUAUCUUUAUAAUGCAGGUGUUAUAUAAAGAAGGUCUGUUCGACCUUUAAUUUUUU